GAGUGAUUAGUCUAUAUAAGACAAUUAAUUUCGACUUAAUAAAACCUAUAAACUAUAGGAUCACUAA